rnacentral:rRNA from 1 species
GCAGUCGACGCUUCUUUCCUCCGAGUGCUUGCACUCAAUUGGAAAGAGGAGUGGCGGACGGGUGAGUAACACGUGGGUAACCUACCCAUCAGAGGGGGAUAACACCUGGAAACAGGUGCUAAUACCGCAUAACAGUUUAUGCCGCAUGGCAUAAGAGUGAAAGGCGCUUUCGGGUGUCGCUGAUGGAUGGACCCGCGGUGCAUUAGCUAGUUGGUGAGGUAACGGCUCACCAAGGCCACGAUGCAUAGCCGACCUGAGAGGGUGAUCGGCCACACUGGGACUGAGACACGGCCCAGACUCCUACGGGAGGCAGCAGUAGGGAAUCUUCGGCAAUGGACGAAAGUCUGACCGAGCAACGCCGCGUGAGUGAAGAAGGUUUUCGGAUCGUAAAACUCUGUUGUUAGAGAAGAACAAGGACGUUAGUAACUGAACGUCCCCUGACGGUAUCUAACCAGAAAGCCACGGCUAACUACGUGCCAGCAGCCGCGGUAAUACGUAGGUGGCAAGCGUUGUCCGGAUUUAUUGGGCGUAAAGCGAGCGCAGGCGGUUUCUUAAGUCUGAUGUGAAAGCCCCCGGCUCAACCGGGGAGGGUCAUUGGAAACUGGGAGACUUGAGUGCAGAAGAGGAGAGUGGAAUUCCAUGUGUAGCGGUGAAAUGCGUAGAUAUAUGGAGGAACACCAGUGGCGAAGGCGGCUCUCUGGUCUGUAACUGACGCUGAGGCUCGAAAGCGU